GCGCGAAACCUUUACAAUGCACGCAAGUUGAUAAGGGGAUCCCCAGUGCUCAUGUACUGCAUGGGCUUUUGCCAAGUGUAAAUAGCUUGGCGAAUAAGUGGUGGGUAAGACCGGUGCCAGCCGCCGCGGUAACACCGGCGCCACGAGUGGUAACCGCGUUUAUUGGGCCUAAAGCGUCCGUAGCCGGCCUGAUGAAUCCUUUGUGAAAUUGUCCAGCCUAACUGGGCAGCGCGCAAGGGACACUAUCAGGCUCGAGACCGGGAGGAGUCAGAAGUAUUCCAGGGGGAGCGGUAAAAUGUUAUAAUCCCUGGAGGACUACCUGUGGCGAAAGCGUCUGACUAGAACGGAUCUGACGGUGAGGGACGAAAGCCAGGGGAGCGAACCGGAUUAGAUACCCGAGUAGUCCUGGCCGUAAACGCUGCGAGCUAGGUGUUGCGCCACUACAUGUUGGUGCAGUGUCGAAAGGAAGCUGUUGAGCUCGCCGCCUGGGAAGUACGGUCGCAAGACUGAAACUUUAAGGAAUUGGCGGGGGAGCACCACAAGGGGUGCGGCGUGCGGUUUAAUCUAACUCAACGCAGAGAACCUUACUAGGGGCGACGGCAGGAUGAAGGCCAGCUUGAAGAGCUUGCCUGACGAGCCGAGAGGUGGUGCAUGGCCGCCGUCAGCUCGUGCUGUGAAGUGUCCAGCUAAGCCUGGCAACGAGCGAGACCUGUAUCUGCAAUUGCUAACAGCAACUUGUUGGACUGAGCACUUUGCAGAGACUGCCCGGGAAACCGGGAGGAAGGUGCAGGCUACGGCAGGUCUGUAUGCCCCGAAUCCCCUAGGCUACACGCGCGCAACAAUGGUUGGGACAAAGGGAUGCCACUCCGAAAGGAGAAGCUAAACCUCUAAACCCAAUCCAAGUCCAGAUCGAGGCUUGCAACUCAGCCUCGUGACGACGGAAUCCCUAGUAAUCGGAAGUCAUCAUCUUCUGGUGAAUAUGUCCCUGCUCCU
rnacentral:rRNA from 1 species